rnacentral:rRNA from 1 species
GCAAUGCCGCGUGAGCGAAGAAGGUCUUCGGAUUGUAAAAGCUUCUGUUGACCGGGGAAAAGGAAGGAAAAGAGGAAAAUGCGUUUUUCUUUAGGAUGGUACCCGGCCAGAAAGUCACCGGCUAACUACGUGCC